CCGAGCUAAGCAGAAUGAAGAGAGAGAAAAAGAUUUAGCAGCAACAACAAAUGAAGUGCCAUAAAACUGCUUUUCCUGCCAAGAUAAACAGCACUCCCUUAUGAAGAUUUCCUGUCAACUACCUCUCACAAGCACAAGCCCCAAAAUGGAUAAAAGGGAAAAAGGUGGUAUGUUAAGACAUAUUCCAAGGAGAGGAAAGGAGAGGAGAUAAUAUUUGACAUUACACUAUAGCCCAGAGCGGCUGCAGUCCCCACCCACCAGGGCAGGGAAGGCCCCUCAGCAGCAGCUGGCCCAGGUCUAAGAGCGUCCGGACCACAGGACAGACUAUGAUCCCCCAGAAGAGUUCCCUUCUGACCUUGGAAUCGACCUCGCUUUUCCAAACUUGAUUUGCUCAUCCUGGGUACUGACCUCUAUUGAUUUAAUUCACCCGUCACUCUCUACAGCCAAAAAAGGCUGCUCCUGUCUUUGAACAAACCAGGUAAGUUUUCCAUAACGUGAAUGUUGACAAAGGAAAAGCCAAAAGUCAACUGUACCUCCGCAGCCUUCAUUGGGUGGAGUUCAUCCCCAUGGAAGUUAAUCUGUAACCCUAUAUCCUUUCCACCUUGAAGAAUCCUUCUGGUGGAAUCUAGAUCAAAGACACCCUUCUCACAGAACACGUCUAUGUUGUCAACGUGAAUCUGCCCAUUUCUGCCAAGCUCCUUCAGCUUUGGGAGGUGGUUAUUGAUGAUGUCAUCAGCAGCUUCAAUAGCAGUUUUUCCUCUGAGGAAAGAAAAGAACAUUUCCAUGGGCAAAUAUAGUUUUUAACUGGAAGAAAGGUUGGGUUGGUUUUUUGUUUUUUGUUUUUUUGUUUUUUUUGGUGUUUGGGGAACCUGAGAAACUAUAGGUAAAUGAACUCAAGCCCCAGAAAAGUGCAGAAAGAAUCAAAACUAUUAACAAUUGUGACAUGCCUACAAAGCAGAGGUAUUAAUAAGACUUCUAUAUGCUCUGACCCUAUUCACAGAGACUCUGACCCUAUUCACAGAGACUCAUCCAUUCUGGCACACCAGUGUUGCCUUUGGGAAUGCUGGCAAGGCAAGGUCAUCUGGCUG